rnacentral:lncRNA from 1 species
ACCAGAUGCUGAGCUCUGAGCUCACGCAGGCCAAAAAACAAUGCGACGAGCUAGUGGCUUUCUUGAAUCAGUAUGUGAAGGUUGCACCUGACAUGAUCAACCGUAUCAUGAGCCAAGGAACCUCAGGGUCCAGCCAUGGGGAGUUGGUCAAGGAGGUAAUUGGUAUUGUUAACUAUUUAGUAUAUAUAUAUGACAAGAUAGAAGGGGAAUUUUCAAUUAACGAAAAAAUGUCAAUGUGUGACUUGUUCCAGCUGUGAAAUAAUUCUUUCUUUUUCGGAAUCAUGUGUUACAUAGAUAUUUUGUGCAUUGGCGUUUUUUAAAAAUAUAUACGAGUUACAUAUUUUGAUGUAAAUUUCAUAUUUAAAAUAACCAAGAAUAAUUCCAUAGGAUUUUGAGCUAGGAAAUCUCUAGAAACAAUGCCUCAUCCUCACCUGCCGGAAUGAUCCUUGUGGAUUUUUGAUAUGUCAUCUUCGUUUCAUAACCCGAAAAGAUCCAAAGGUCACAAUUGGUGGCUAACCCCAAUUGGGAAGCGUGGAUCACGAUUUUUGUCCCUAUCAGAACGUUCUACUGCUAGUAAAAUUGUCCUAUCCGUAGCUGGAAUUUGUUCAGAGAUAUUUUUGUUUUUUCAUUAUUUAAAAUUAUUUAGUAAUCUAGUAUAUCUUGAAAGGAAUUUCAGAAUCUGAUUGGUCAGAAUAUUUGAAAUACUAGUGAAAUAUACUAUUUUAAGCGAAAUAAUAUAUUUAAUUCAUAAAAUAAUACUCCAAUUUUUACCCAUUAAUCCUUUUUUUUCAAUAGAAUUCAAGUCUUAAAUUUCAACUACUCUGUCCUACUUCCGCUUUUAGUAUUCUUUUUUCUUUGUCUGCAACUAAACAUUGUCUAAAUGCCUUGUAAUAUUUUCAAUAUUCCAAUUUAACGGCAGUGUGAACAUUAUUGGUCAAUUUUAGCUGCAUUGCUUUCGCGUAAGUUGGGCUAUUAAAGUCUUCCCAAUCUUCCUAAGUGGUUUUGGUCUUAUUUUUAGUCGUUGGGAUAAGCUGUAUUAAACCCUCUAGAAGCAUAAAAGGCAAACGUUCACUAUCAACAAAGAGGCAAUAAAGCAAUCGACAAUUAUUAAAUUAAAAUUAAGAAAACAAGAAAUAAAUAAUGGAGAUGACUAAUUGAAUCCUACUCCAAGAGCCUAUGGUUAUAUUUUCCUUCAUUUUGUUAAUUGUGAGUGCGGCAUGUUGCAACUCCUGAACUUAUUAUGCUGUGAUAAUCUCACUUAGAUACUGUUUUUUCCUUAUUUAGAAUUGUGAUGUCCGGGUCAACUUGCGUUUUUCUAGAGUACAUGAUUACCUCCUACCAAUAUAGGUACGGAAUAACUCUGCAACUCGUUUUGAUGCCACUUGCAAAUAUCAAAUCCAUGAUAAUCUAUUUUGAUUGAGAGGAUAGUAUGUUUCUCCAGCUUUACAUUCACCCAAAAGAGCAAUCCUUUUCAUUAAGGUGUGUUGGUGAAUAGCAACAGCUCAGUGACUGUCACAAAAAACAUUUCGAUUUUGUUAUGCACUAAGUGGACUUUGCUUAUAUUUGCAGGGCUUUAGAAAGAUUGUGCCAGACAAAUGGGAAUUCGCCAACGAGAACUUCCAAAGAGGACAGAAGGAGCUCCUCACGGCAAUACGCCGUCGGAAAACCGUGACACCAACCCCAGCUGGUGGUAAGUCCGUGGCACGAGGCACAUCAGCAUCUCCGGACAAUUCGGGGGAAGACUUAGGUUCAAGUUCAACCUCAUCCCCGGACUCUAAGAACCCGGGGUCAGUUGAUACCCCGGGAAAGUCCCAGUUUGCAGACUUGUCGGACGAAAACGAGAAGCUAAAGAAAGACAACCAGAUGCUGAGCUCCGAGCUCGCGCAGGCCAAGAAACAGUGCGACGAGCUAGUGGCUUUCUUGAAUCAGUAUGUGAAGGUUGCACCUGACAUGAUCAACCGUAUCAUGAGCCAAGGAACCUCAGGGUCCAGCCAUGGGGAGUUGGUCAAGGAGGUAAUUGGUAUUGUUAACGAUUUAGAAACACAAGGUAAUGAUGAUGAUCAAGACGAUGACGAAAAGGGUGAUACUCUGAAACUGUUUGGUGUGUUAUUGAAAGAGAAGAAGAAAAAAAGGGGUCCAGAUGAGAAUGCUGAUAUUUCUGGGUUCCGUGGGAAAAU